rnacentral:lncRNA from 1 species
CUUAGAUAUAACUUGUGCAAUGUGUUCCUUAAAUAAUAAAUUCCCACGUGUACUUUGUCUUUUGAUAUGUAGCAUAAUCGAGUUGUGUGAGAAAUAUACAGGGCUGCAUUGCACACAGAGAUCACAAGUGAACUGGAAGUGGAUACCAUCUGCAAUGCUGAAGUUGCGCUUCCAAUAUCCCCUGUGAGAAAGCUUAAUAAGCAGUUUACGCAUUAUCGAGACCAGGUAAGUCUCUAAACAAUAAGCAUGUUGACCAUUACGGUUUAGAUCCACUAGCUACAACUGUAAUUAUAAUAAGGAGCAAUCCCAAUACACUACGGCAAAGGAAAAAACCAUGACAGUAUGCACUCUAUUAUUUAUAAAAGAUGUCUUAUUAGGAUAGAAAGGUUCUGUUUCCAGUUACUAGAAAAGGUAAAAUGAUAACACAGUAUGGUACCAUUUAUCACUUGACCAUUGCUUGAUUGUUGUUACUUUGUAUUUGUCAUAACAACCAUUUUCUGUUGCCUACAGAUACCCUCACUAACAGAUCCUCCCCCUGAGAAAUAGGUUAUCCCCAAAGGAAUAUAGGACCGAUGGAGCGUUGAUAUGUAGUUAAAGGGGUUGAAAACAUCAAAAAAGGAUACCAGCAAAGUGGAGGAGAAGAAAAGACUGGGAGAAAGAGAUGAGGUAGACUACUUCAUUUCUUAAAAUCUCUAAUCAGUGCACUGUGCACCAACACAGUAUCUCCAUGGCACACAGUGCAUCCUGUCCACCCUGAGUUGACAGCCUGCUAGUCAAUAAUUAUCCCUCUGUGACCAUUGAUGUACAGAGAGCAUCAUGGUCAUGUGUGCCAACAACGUACACUGUACGGCUUCAGUCAAAAGUGCUCACCAUGUAAUUGAUAAUACCGAGGUAUUUCUGGAUGUCUCAAUAAUGAUCACAUGCUGAUCACUAGCAGCAUGGGGAAUGAUUUAAACUGGUGCAUGCAGUGAUUGUGGGGUUAGGAUCAGCUAAACUUAGUUAGGGUUUGCUAGAGUUAGUUUGCUAUGGUUAGGGUUAAAUAGGGUCAAGGUUAGCAAUAGUUAGAAUUAGUUAGAGUUAUGUUUAGAUAGUUUCAAAUCAUGUCAGAGUCUAAUGCCAGAAAGCAUUGUGUCACUUCACCAAAUUACAUCUCCAAUAAGCAAGUGAAGAGGUAUGUCAAAAUUAGAGAGCGUCUCUAAUGUGACGCGAUACUUUCCCCAAGAACCUAACAAUGAUAUUAAUGUGGGGUAUCUUUGUACUCCGGGUAAGACGCAGAAUAACAUUAAAUUUCAUGUAUGUGAAAGCAAUAAAAAAAAUAAGAUAACCUUUAAAAUUUCGCAGGAAUACAUUAUGGAUGCUUUAUAGACAGUGACAGACCUAGGGCGGUUGCCGCUGCGACUAGGCCCAUCACUCCAGGGGGCCAGGCUCACAGGGGUGCUUGCCGGUCAUGUGGUGCAGUCAUUCCUCCUAGCUAAUAUAUAUAUAAAUUAUAAGUACUGUAUACUGCAUAAGUAUUAGAAUGUCCUUGCGGACUUCAAUAUGUAGGCAGAACUACUAGACCACUGAAAACAAGAAUAGCUGAACACUGCUGAAAUAUUGAAAAGGGCUUCA